rnacentral:rRNA from 1 species
UAGAGUUUGAUCCUGGCUCAGGACGAACGCUGGCGGCGUGCUUAACACAUGCAAGUCGAACGAUGAAGCCGGAGCUUGCUCUGGUGGAUUAGUGGCGAACGGGUGAGUAACACGUGAGUAACCUGCCCUUGACUCUGGGAUAAGCGUUGGAAACGACGUCUAAUACCGGAUACGAGCUGGGACCGCAUGGUCACUAGCUGGAAAGAAUUUCGGUCAAGGAUGGACUCGCGGCCUAUCAGCUUGUUGGUGAGGUAACGGCUCACCAAGGCGACGACGGGUAGCCGGCCUGAGAGGGUGACCGGCCACACUGGGACUGAGACACGGCCCAGACUCCUACGGGAGGCAGCAGUGGGGAAUAUUGCACAAUGGGCGCAAGCCUGAUGCAGCAACGCCGCGUGAGGGACGACGGCCUUCGGGUUGUAAACCUCUUUUAGCAGGGAAGAAGCGAAAGUGACGGUACCUGCAGAAAAAGCACCGGCUAACUACGUGCCAGCAGCCGCGGUAAUACGUAGGGUGCAAGCGUUGUCCGGAAUUAUUGGGCGUAAAGAGCUCGUAGGCGGUUUGUCGCGUCUGCUGUGAAAACGCGAGGCUCAACCUCGCGCCUGCAGUGGGUACGGGCAAACUAGAGUGCGGUAGGGGAGAUUGGAAUUCCUGGUGUAGCGGUGGAAUGCGCAGAUAUCAGGAGGAACACCGAUGGCGAAGGCAGAUCUCUGGGCCGUAACUGACGCUGAGGAGCGAAAGCAUGGGGAGCGAACAGGAUUAGAUACCCUGGUAGUCCAUGCCGUAAACGUUGGGA